AGAAAGCGAUUUUUUUUUUUUUUUGGGAAACGAUGCUGAAUAUAUUAUUCAGGAUGUAUAAUAGUCUAUCCAUUUAACUAGACUAAACACCUUGAAGUUUCCACUUUUUUUAUCAACAAUUAUGCUUCAUCAGUUAUCAAUCCUAUGGGGCAUGUAUUCACCCAUCCAUCUUCCAUUCCUUGUUUUGCAAUACCUUUUUUAUUAAAGUUCCUGCUUCAUAAGUUGGGGAAAAUCAUGUAAACUAGUGGGGUUAUUUGGAAACAGACUUGUAUUUGUGUGAUAGCAUUAUUUGUGUGUAGUGUGUGAAGAAGAUUCUAGUCUGAUGCUUUGGAUAUGUACUAUUGAUAUGUGAAAAUAGCAGCCAAUUUUUUUUUUAAUUUCUAAUUUUAUCUCAAAUGGGUUGUAUUGGGUAGAUCAAUUUUAUUGAAAAUGCUGAGAAUGAUUUAGGAGGAAAGAAAUGAUAGAAAUUUGUCGAACUUUUAUUUCCCCAUGAUCUAGGAAAUGGAAUAUUCCUGAUCUUAGAUUCUGAUAUUUGGGGGAAAAGGGGAACAUGACCUCCCACAGACAUUGUUUCUACAAGUUACGCAUCCACUUAAAAGUUAAAAGUUUUAGAAUCAAAGUUCAUCUAGAGGAUCUCUAGCAUUACACUCCACAUAAUUUUGUGUUAUAGCUUUCUCUUCUUCCAAUGGAUCAUGCAAAUGAAAAAUAAGAAUGUAUUAAAUUAUAUCCAUUACAUUAUGGUAUACCAAACAUUCUCUAAAGUCCUAUAAUGGCUGUUAAAAAAAAUAGUAUAUAUUAUCUUGUUCUAAAGUGGGACUUGGAUCAAUUUAGACAGUCCUACCUGUUAGCUUUUUUGCAUGAAGUGGGCCAAGUGGCUUCUCUUAAGACUUUAAUCUGCAGUCUUGCAGUUGCAAGUCCAAUGCUUUUGCAAUUGCACCAAGCAACGGCCCCUUCAUGGUACUGAUACUUGAAUAUCUUGAUAUACUUUUGUGACCAUGAUCCUGAAAUUAUGUUUCUUUGCUCUGUUUUGCCAUUUGGAUUCCAUGCUAUCUCAACAUAAAAUCGUAUUAUCAUUUUUUGGUUUUUGAACAUGGUGCCUGUAGGUUUAAAGGAAUGAUAUUCACUCUUCGCAUGCUCUGUUACAUUCUUAUCCCAUGUAUUAGCAUUUUUAACAGCAAUCAUGUUUGUGCCCAAGCAUAGACUGCUCAUUUACUUGAGUAUGAUUUGUGAUAUGAAGUUGAUG
rnacentral:misc_RNA from 1 species